CGCCAGGCGGCGCUGUGUCACGCCAGGUGCUCCUAUAUCACGCCAGGCGAUACUAUAUCACGCCAGGUGCUCCUAUAUCACGCCAGGUGCUCCUAUAUCACGCCAGGUGCUCCUAUAUCACGCCAGGCGCUCCUAUAUCACGCCAGGCGCUCCUAUAUCACGCCAGGCGAUACUAUAUCACGCCAGGUGCUCCUAUAUCACGCCAGGCGAUACUAUAUCAUGCCAGGUGCUCCUAUAUCACGCCAGGCGCUCCUAUAUCACGCCAGGCGCUCCUAUGUCACGCCAGGCGGCGCUGUGUCACGUCAGGUGCUCCUAUAUCAUGCCACAGGCGCUCCUAUAUCACGCUAGGCGCUCCUAUAUCACGCCAGGUGCUCCUAUAUCACGCCAGGCG
ensembl:lncRNA